GGGGCUUUUGAGUUUU
rnacentral:tRNA from 1 species